GUCAGUGUGGCCGAGUGGUUAAGGCGAUGCACUCGAACGGAGGGCCCAUCUAAAGGUUCUUCAAUUAGCUAUGCAUUACGUUCGCGUGCAGAGGUUCGAAUCCUCUCGCUGACG